ensembl:lncRNA
GGUAUACUGAAGAAGUAAAGCAUAUUCUCUGACUUGAAGUAUAACAUUUUGUAAUUAUUAUAUUAGGUCUAGGUAUUAGAAAAUAUAUGCUGUAAAUAAUGUAAAGAUGCAUAAGAAGAUGAAGGUGUUUCUUGGAAGCAUAAUAGAAUCAGACUGACCCUGUAGGUUAUUAUGACCUAUAGCCUAUUCACGUUUUAAAGUUUAGUGCUCUCCAGCGGGCGUGAAAAUAAUGACAGUGUCGUGUUGCGUCUGUCGUCAUGAAAUGACGUAUGACUGUCAUUACCAAUCAAAAUGUUUCAGUUCUGAUCUAAAUUUCUGUCAUUUUUUCUACUGCAGAAUCACAAUCAUGAAUGCUGUAAAUGCUGUGCAGCUGUUCAUUCUGGUUUGGAUCUUUACUGCUGUCUGUCACGCUGAUGAACGUAAGAGAAUAAACUUUUCCAUAGAAAGAGUGUGAGAAUUUAGAGGAGGGACUAAAUCUGAGAUGAUGAAAACAUGGUCAAAUCUGAUUCAUAAAUAUUCAAAACUUAAAAAUACCCAGUGUAAUAGCUUUUGACUCUUAGUAUCAAAAUACUGAUUUACUGUUUGAACAAUUAUGGUCAGAGAGCAGUAAAAAACAAACAAACAAAAAAAAGCUUCUGCCCAUUAAUGUGCUCUUAAGUAAAACAAUGUGUUCAUACAGAUAAGUGCAAAAUCUCAUUUUCAGUCAUGACUACAGGAUCUUGUGUUUUCUGCACUGAUUAUAUCUGCUGCACAUGAUUGAAAGAAACAUUCAGGAUGAGGCUGCUUGCAGAGAUUGCUGUAUUCUGCUUUUAGAAAAUUAAUUGUGUAUUUAUACUGAAGUUACGUUUUAUAAUAAAUAAUAAAAUAUCUGACUUUCCCAUGGCUAGAUCAAAUUCUAAAUCUAACAUACAAAAUACAUAAUGCAGUAAUUUUAUUUAUGAAUAGGUUCUCUAAUGAAAUACUGUAUAUUUAUUGUAUGACUGUCAUGGGCAGACAUAUGUUAAAAUCAGAUUUACAUUUGCUCUAUUGUAUGAUAUUCAUUGUUAUUUUUCAGAUGUCAUAGUAAGCUGUCAGAAUGUGACUGGAUCUGUGGGGAAAGAAGUAAAUCUCACCUGCAGUGUCUCUCUGCAGAUCACUGAAUGCUGCAUUAAAGAGUAUAAGUUUCAAUACCCAAAGAUCUUUAAUGACUCCGCAAUCUGUCGUCAAGAUGUUCCUGUGAACUCCUGUGAACAGAGAAACAGUUUCACAUGCAGCUACACUCCAACUACAGCGAUGACAGAACAAUUCAGAUUCUUUGUGCAAACAGCGUGUGGAAAGGACCUAUCAGAAUUCACUGUUAAGACAUCAGUUUCCUCAGAAUCAUCAGGAUCCUCUCCACCAGAGACAGCAGCAGGAUUCAAGAAUACUGUCUUCACUGUGGUUGUCAGUGGUUUCAUCAUCAUCAUCCUCAUCAUGAUGGCGAUCAUUUGCAAAACAAAACCAAACUUCACCAAACUUUGCAGAGGCCAGAACUGGAUGUUUUUGAGAGUCAGACAUGAUGAGGACAACAAUCGUCCAGGAAAUGAGAUAUUAUAGCAUCGAGUUUUGUUUUCAUGUGGUGCUCAUGAAACACACAAGCAUUAUUUAAACUCCACUAAACUACAUGCUCUACUAUCUUAUAUCUCAAACUACUAAAUAUAUAACUCUGGCUGUAGGUUUUAAAACUCUUGUUUCUAUUUUAUAUUGAUUUCUGUGAAAUAACAGCAUAUUAUUGAUCUGUUUGAUCAGAGUAUAUGACUUUAAUAAACUCAAAGCUUUUUGAACUUUAAGAGGAAACAGCGAAACUCAAACUGUGUCUUUUUUGACUUUCAAUGAAUGUCUAACAUGAAUGUCAUUUUUAUAUAUUGUAUAAUAGUGUGAAGGAUGUGGUUUUGUACAGAAUCUUAUUUUUUUAAAAAGGACAUUGAAAUGAAUAAAGACUUGUGAUACUCUCUAAACAUGAAUGGAUCUUCUGUUUAUGGGGAAGUUCUAGCAGAUAAACGAGUCAAAUGUAUGUAUGCAUUAUUUAUUUGUGUAAGACAAGUUACAAGUUAUUAUCUUAUUCUGCAGGAAAUCUUUAGAUAUUUG